AUAUUAAAGCCUUGCGAGGUUCUGGUUGGCAUUCCGGGUAAUGAAUGUCUAUCGAGACGUCGAGGCAGUUGUCACGGACUCUAGGGGAGUACCGGGUCGUGACAAAGUUAAAUGUUGAAAAAGAUAGAAAGGUGGAGUUACUAAAAAAAAUUCAAAAUUUAUUAGAAUUAAGCCCACUACCUAUUAUAAAAAAGAAAUAAGUUUGGGGUGUGAAAUUGUGAUAAAAAAAAAAGAAAAGAAAAGAAAAAGAAGUGUUGAACAAAAAGAAAAAAAAAGUGACGAGAAUGGGGUAAUUAGUAAAGGAAAAUAAAAGCUUUAGAGGUCCUAAAAUAACUAUGUGCUUAGGGUGAUAUUGAGUCACAUUAUAUCCUUUAUCAUAGCUAGACCCUAACCUUACAGUAUGCGCUUAACAAAGGCCUAUUGAUCUUUGAAUAAGUGUUAGUAUAUAUUAGUGGAGAGAGAGAUGAAAAGUAAAACUAUGGAAUUCUAGCACUUAGCUAAAUUUUGCAUUGGCAUAAUAUUAUCUAGAUUGUAUGAAUAUUCUCUGUAAAAAUAUCAUUCACACACACAUAAAUAUUGUGAAAUCCAUUUGAGAAUGAACUUGUAGUUGAAUUGAGCAUGAAUUUAAUGAUUAUCUAUGUUUCACCUUGAGUCGAAAUUGUGGGAUAAUUUUUUUGAAAAAAAAUGGGGAAUUCAUGCUUUGGUGAAUUGCAUCUCUAGCAAGUUGUUUGGUUUUUUGUUCUUCCUUUUUGCUUGGGGACAAGCAAAAAUUCAGGUUUGGGGGUUAUUUGAUGUGUGCAUCAAAUAUAUAUAUUUAAUUGGAGAUUAAAUAUCUAAUUAGUCUAAGUUAGACUGGAUUUAGGAUCUGAUUUAGGUGUUUUUAUUUAUUUUAUUAGGUUAGUAUAAUUUAUGUUUAGAUGUUUAUUUUAAUUUAAUGAUGUAAGUUUUAUGUUAUUUAUAUUUAGUUUUAGGUUUUUGUAGGAAGAGGAUCAAAAAUACUUUCAAUUGGUGAAAAAAGAUGCAUAAUGGACUAGUGCUCUGUUUGCAUAUAUUUCAGUUUUUUAGGUAUAUCUCCCACUACAAAAGUUCAAAGGACAUGAUGUUUUGACCAUUAGAAAUAUAAGAGGUAGGGCUACAACUUUGAUGUUUAUCACUUUACCCAGUUCUAAACCAAAGUUUAUCAAAAUCUUUAUCAAAGUGAAAGUAUUGCAUCAGAAUAACAAAUUUGAGCAGAACCUUUGAGAGCCGCGGAGCUCAAUGUAUUUUUCAAAAAUAACAAGCUUAAGGGAUUUUGGAAGCUAGGGCUUUUGGAGGAUAUUUAAGGGGCCUUUUUCAGAGGUUUCUGAGAAGAGGCAGCAAGCUAUUUCUCUAGAGAAAAAAAGCCAAAAACAAAGAAAGAAAGCAAGAGAAUUAGAGGGAGAAUCAAGAUCAUAAAGCUUCAACUAUUUGUUUUUUCUCUAUACUUUGGUGUUUUUCUUAUUUUCUUUGACUUUGAUUAAUGGCUAAUUUUCUUUGGAUGAAGUUUUUAUUAAAUAUUAUGAGCUAAAAUAUUUUUUUAGAAUUUCAAUUGAACUCACAUGUAAUUUAAAUUGUUAAUAUCUUUCUUGCUUUUCUUUAAUGGGAUUAGAAUUGUUUAUUCCAAUUUGUUCUUAAUGCUUUUAAUUGCCUUAUCACUAAUUAAAUUGAUUUAAGAACCCAAAUAAACUUUGGAAAGGGAGCUAAGUGUAUACUAAAAUUGGGAUAGCAUAUGAUCAUAUUAAUUUAUUUGUGUAUAGGAGAGGGAUAUACCUAUAGGUCAUAUGUAGCCAAAUUAGACCCUGAACUUAAUGAGUCUGUUUCAAUUUUAAUUCACAUAGGGAUAUAGUGUUUUGGUUAAAAUAGAUAGUUUUAUAAGAUGAGUCGAGAGACCCUUAUAAGUAAUUGAGGACUCUAGGUUAGCAAUUCAACCCAUUGAAAUAAAUUAAGAAAGAGAGUUAACAUUUAGAUGAAGUGUGAGAGAUAUUGUAAUCUUAGGCUUCUUUGAUUUGCUUUUUACCCAAUUAUCUUGUUGCUUUAAUUUUUAAUUAAAUUAGUUUUAGUUGAGUAGUUUUUAGUUUAAUUAGAAUUCAGAUUUUUAUUGUUUGAAUAAAAUUAAAUUGUCUUAAUUUUAGUACUUAGUAAAAUUUUUUAUCAAUUCUCUAUGGGAUCGAUAGUUUGCUUGCUUAUAUACUAUCUAUUCGAUACGUAUACUUGCAUAAUAGAAUUUUAACUGACAAGUUUUUGGCGCCAUUUCCAGAGAAUUUUUUUUAGAAUUUUUACUAAUACUAAUACCAAGCAAAUUUAGUCUUAAUUCAAAUUUUUUUAUUUUAUUUUCAAGUACUUUUGGUUGAAGUGAUGAAUUAUUAUCACUAUCAGUGGCUAUCUGAACAAUUUGUGCCUGGGAGUGUUGCUAGUGAUUAUGAAUUUGGCUAUCAAUGUUUGGCCGCCCAAGUAGAUGCUUUGUCUCAAAGAAUUGACAAUUGGGGUGUUAAUGUUUUUCAAAGUCCUUUUGUAGCAUGCGAGCUUUGUGGAAAUAGGCAUUCAAGUGAUUGUUGUCCAACCUAUUAUGAAUCAAUGCAAAUUGGUGGAAGCUUCAAUGGGCAGCAAAAUAAUUUGUACUCCAAUAGUUACAACUCAUGGUGGAAUCAUCCAAAAAUUUCAUUGUCACAGCCCAAUUUUUGGGCCAUGACCUGCGCAUAGGCCCAAUGGGCAUAACCCACUAAGCCCAAGCAAGCCUCUUUAUGUAAUCCCAAUCGUCAUUUCAACAAUCAUUCCGAAAGUCACAUUUUGUAAUUCUCAACUAUAAAAUAUUCAGUGAUAUACUAUGGCAAUCAAAUACUUACAUUUAGAUGAUCCAAA
rnacentral:lncRNA from 1 species